rnacentral:rRNA from 1 species
CGAACCGGGGGAACUGAAACAUCUAAGUACCCCGAGGAAAAGAAAUCAACCGAGAUUCCCCCAGUAGCGGCGAGCGAACGGGGAGCAGCCCGGAGUCUGAAUCAGCUUGUGUGUUAGUGGAAGCGUCUGGAAAGUCGCACGGUACAGGGUGACAGUCCCGUACACGAAAAUGCACAGGUUGUGAACUCGAAGAGUAGGGCGGGACACGUGGUAUCCUGUCUGAAUAUGGGGGGACCAUCCUCCAAGGCUAAAUACUCCUGACUGACCGAUAGUGAACCAGUACCGUGAGGGAAAGGCGAAAAGAACCCCGGCGAGGGGAGUGAAAAAGAACCUGAAACCGUGUACGUACAAGCAGUGGGAGCACCUUCGGGUGUGACUGCGUACCUUUUGUAUAAUGGGUCAGCGACUUAUAUUCUGUAGCAAGGUUAACCGUAUAGGGGAGCCGCAGGGAAACCGAGUCUUAACUGGGCGUUAAGUUGCAGGGUAUAGACCCGAAACCCGGUGAUCUAGCCAUGGGCAGGUUGAAGGUUGGGUAACACUAACUGGAGGACCGAACCGACUAAUGUUGAAAAAUUAGCGGAUGACCUGUGGCUGGGGGUGAAAGGCCAAUCAAACCGGGAGAUAGCUGGUUCUCCCCGAAAGCUAUUUAGGUAGCGCCUCGUGAACUCAUCUUCGGGGGUAGAGCACUGUUUCGGCUAGGGGGCCAUCCCGGCUUACCAACCCGAUGCAAACUACGAAUACCGAAGAAUGUUAUCACGGGAGACACACGGCGGGUGCUAACGUCCGUCGUGAAGAGGGAAACAACCCAGACCGCCAGCUAAGGUCCCAAAGUCAUGGUUAAGUGGGAAACGAUGUGGGAAGGCACAGACAGCCAGGAUGUUGGCUUAGAAGCAGCCAUCAUUUAAAGAAAGCGUAAUAGCUCACUGGUCGAGUCGGCCUGCGCGGAAGAUGUAACGGGGCUAAACCAUGCACCGAAGCUGCGGCAGCGACGCUUAUGCGUUGUUGGGUAGGGGAGCGUUCUGUAAGCCGUUGAAGGUGUGCUGUGAGGCAUGCUGGAGGUAUCAGAAGUGCGAAUGCUGACAUAAGUAACGAUAAAGCGGGUGAAAAGCCCGCUCGCCGGAAGACCAAGGGUUCCUGUCCAACGUUAAUCGGGGCAGGGUGAGUCGACCCCUAAGGCGAGGCCGAAAGGCGUAGUCGAUGGGAAACAGGUUAAUAUUCCUGUACUUGGUGUUACUGCGAAGGGGGGACGGAGAAGGCUAUGUCAGCCGGGCGACGGUUGUCCCGGUUUAAGCGUGUAGGUGUGUGUUCCAGGCAAAUCCGGUUCACUUUAACACUGAGGCGUGAUGACGAGGCACUACGGUGCUGAAGUGAUAAAUGCCCUGCUUCCAGGAAAAGCCUCUAAGCAUCAGGUAACACGAAAUCGUACCCCAAACCGACACAGGUGGUCAGGUAGAGAAUACCAAGGCGCUUGAGAGAACUCGGGUGAAGGAACUAGGCAAAAUGGUGCCGUAACUUCGGGAGAAGGCACGCUGAUAUGUAGGUGAAGUCCCUGCGGACGGAGCUGAAAUCAGUCGAAGAUACCAGCUGGCUGCAACUGUUUAUUAAAAACACAGCACUGUGCAAACACGAAAGUGGACGUAUACGGUGUGACGCCUGCCCGGUGCCGGAAGGUUAAUUGAUGGGGUUAGCGGCAACGCGAAGCUCUUGAUCGAAGCCCCGGUAAACGGCGGCCGUAACUAUAACGGUCCUAAGGUAGCGAAAUUCCUUGUCGGGUAAGUUCCGACCUGCACGAAUGGCGUAAUGAUGGCCAGGCUGUCUCCACCCGAGACUCAGUGAAAUUGAACUCGCUGUGAAGAUGCAGUGUACCCGCGGCAAGACGGAAAGACCCCGUGAACCUUUACUAUAGCUUGACACUGAACACUGGUCCUUGAUGUGUAGGAUAGGUGGGAGGCUUUGAAGCGUGGACGCCAGUCUGCGUGGAGCCAUCCUUGAAAUACCACCCUUUAAUGGCUGGUGUUCUAACGUGGACCCGUAAUCCGGGUUGCGGACAGUGUCUGGUGGGUAGUUUGACUGGGGCGGUCUCCUCCCAAAGAGUAACGGAGGAGCACGAAGGUUAGCUAAUCCUGGUCGGACAUCAGGAGGUUAGUGCAAUGGCAUAAGCUAGCUUGACUGCGAGAGUGACGGCUCGAGCAGGUGCGAAAGCAGGUCAUAGUGAUCCGGUGGUUCUGAAUGGAAGGGCCAUCGCUCAACGGAUAAAAGGUACUCCGGGGAUAACAGGCUGAUACCGCCCAAGAGUUCAUAUCGACGGCGGUGUUUGGCACCUCGAUGUCGGCUCAUCACAUCCUGGGGCUGAAGUAGGUCCCAAGGGUAUGGCUGUUCGCCAUUUAAAGUGGUACGCGAGCUGGGUUUAGAACGUCGUGAGACAGUUCGGUCCCUAUCUGCCGUGGGCGCUGGAGAAUUGAGGGGGGCUGCUCCUAGUACGAGAGGACCGGAGUGGACGCAUCACUGGUGUUCGGGUUGUCAUGCCAAUGGCACUGCCCGGUAGCUAAAUGCGGAAGAGAUAAGUGCUGAAAGCAUCUAAGCACGAAACUUGCCCCGAGAUGAGUUCU